rnacentral:rRNA from 1 species
CGGUAGUAUUUUUUUUAAAAACCUAUAUAGUUUGGCGGCAUUAUAUCUUAUUAGAGGAAUAUGUCUUUUAAUCGACACUACACGGUAUAUUUCACUUAUUUAAAAAUUUUAUAUACCGCCGUAUAAAUCUAGAUAAAAAUCUUAAAUUAUAAUAAUAUUAUUUAAAUAUAGGUAAAGGUGUAGACUAUAAAUAAGCUAAGAUGUAUUACAUUAAACCUCAUUUAAGGAAAAUAAACAAAAGAAUAUUAAUAAAAAGGAUUUAAUAGUAAUAUUAUAAUUAAUAUAAUAAUAAUAAUAAAAUAUGAAUAAGAAAAUAAAUGUGC